AUGGCGCUGCGGCUGCUGUCCCACCCGUCGCUCACGGCGGCGCAGCUCCGGCAGCUCCACGGCCACCUCCUCACCUCCGCCCUCCUCGGCGACCGCUACCUCCCAAACAUCCUCCUCCGCGGCCUCCUCCCGGACGCCCCUCUCCGCGCCCUCGCCCUCUUCCCCCGCCUCCGCCGCAUCCUCCCCUCAUUCCUCCCCAACAACUACACCUUCUCCUUCCUCCUCACCGCCUCUAUCGCCACAGCCAUCCCCAUUCCCUCGCCGUCGUUCCCCUCUUCGGCCCACACGCAGCUCUUCUGCGCGUUGCACGCGCUCGCGGUGACGCUCGGCUGGGACGCGCACGCCUACGUCUCCAACGGCUUCAUACACGCCUACGCCUCCCGCGGCUUCCUCGACGCCGCGCGCCGCGUCUUCGACAGUGCCGUCCUCGCCCGUACGGACGACGUCUGCUCCUGGACCUCGCUCCUCACCGCCUACGCCAGGGCCGGGCACAUGGACGACGCGCGCGCCCUGUUCGAUGGAAUGCCGCACAAGACGCCCAUCGCCUGGAGCGCCAUGCUCAGCGCCCAUGUCGGGGCGGGCGGCUUCGCGGAUGCGCUCGAGGUGUUCGACGGGAUGCUCAGGGCUCGAGUCCGGCCCAACAGGGCGGCUAUCGUUGGCGCAUUGGCUGCAUGCGGUGCGCUCGGGGCGCUGGAGCAGGGCCGGUGGGUGCACGCUCUCGUCACCGCUACCGCCGGUAGAAUGGAUGGUGGGGUGGCUACUGCGCUGUUGGACAUGUAUGCCAAGUGCGGGAGCCUAGACUUGGCAAGGCAGGUGUUCGCAGCCAUGCCGGAGCCCGAGCGCGACGUGUUUGCUUACACGGCCAUGAUCUCGGGGCUCUCAGACCACGGCCACUGCCAGGAGGCCGUCGAGCUGUUCAGCCGGAUGCGGGACCUGGGGGUGCGCCCCAACGAGGUCACCUUCAUUUGCGUCCUCAGCGCAUGUGCCCGUGCCGGUGGUGGGCUUGUCACCGUCGCUAAGGAGAUCUUCGGAAGCAUGUCUGCUAUCCACGGCAUCGAGCCAGGCGUGGAGCACUAUGGGAGCCUGGUGGACGUUCUCGGCCGUGCCGGGAUGCUCGCGGAGGCCGCGGCUGUGGCACGGGCAAUGCCGAUGCGGCCCGACUCGUACGUGCUAGGUGCGCUGCUCAAUGCGUGCCGGGUGCACGGUAGUGACGGCGUGAAGCUCGGAAAGCAGGUUGUGGAGUGGCUGGCGGAGCUUGGGCUCGACCACAGCGGCGUGCACGUGCAGCUGUCCAACAUGUACGCCUGCUCCUGCAAGUGGGAGGACGUGGUAAGGAUCCGGUCGGUGAUGGAGGAGAAGAAGGUGACCAAAGUGCCCGGCUGCAGCAUGGUCGAGGUCGAUGGCGUCGCUUGCGAGUUUGUUGCUGGCGACCGCUUCCUUGAUCCGUGCAUCAACACCGUCGCCAGGGGGCUCGAUCAGCAGCUCAGGCUGCUUGACCAUGACUACCGUCACCUCGAGGAGCUAUCCAACUUGGCGUAG
rnacentral:rRNA from 1 species